GAUGAUGAACGUAGCGAAAUGCGAUACGUAAUGUGAAUUGCAAAUUCAGUGAAUCAUCGAGUCUUUGAACGCACAUUGCGCCCCCUGGUAUUCCGGGGGGCAUGCCUGUCCGAGCGUCAUUGCUGCCCUCAAGCACGGCUUGUGUGUUGGGCCCCGUCCUCCGAUCCCGGGGGACGGGCCCGAAAGGCAGCGGCGGCACCGCGUCCGGUCCUCGAGCGUAUGGGGCUUUGUCACCCGCUCUGUAGGCCCGGCCGGCGCUUGCCGAUCAACCCAAAUUUUUAUCCAGGUUGACCUCGGAUCAGGUAGGGAUACCCGCUGAACUUAAGCAUAUCAAUAAGCGGAGGA
rnacentral:misc_RNA from 1 species